GCGCCAAGGAGUGAUGGCAACCUCAGGAUGAGGGUCGAUGAGCGAGGAACGCUGGUCGAGCAGGAAGCGAAUGGACAGCUGGAUGGAACCGCUAAGCAAGGCAGGAAUACUUGCAGUCAGGAUGACACAGGACCACUUCAGGAUGAAGUUAGGGACAUCGCUUUACGGAUAAGGCUAAAGGAACUCGCUAGGAUAGCGUUGUUAUCGAGUGUUAGGAUACCUCGAUUGGUCAGGAUAGACCGAGUUGGACACCUCCAGGAAGGAGAGAUAAAACGGAACAAGCUAAGGGAUUUGGCGAAUUUCAAGGAAUGAGGCAGGGAGCACUGCUAGUAGCCGGAUAGCUGCGAAAAAACUUAAGGGCGCAACGCAAGUUGCGCCCAUUCUUUUGAUG
rnacentral:other from 1 species